rnacentral:rRNA from 1 species
UACAGAGACGUCAAGCGUUGUUCGGAUUCAUUGGGCGUAAAGGGCGCGCAGGCGGUCGGGUAAGUCAGAUGUGAAAUCUCGCAGCCUAACUGCGAUAGGUCAUUUGAAACUGCCCGGCUCGAGGACUGGAGGGGAGACUGGAAUAGCUGGUGUAGCGGUGAAAUGCGUAGAGAUCAGCUAGAACACCGGUGGCGAAGGCGAGUCUCUGGACAGUUCCUGACGCUGAGGCGCGAAAGCCAGGGGAGCAAACGGG